CCCUUGAUAGCUCAGUUGGUAGAGCGCUCCACUGGAAAUGGAGAGGUCCUGCGUUCGAUACCCGGACCAGGCG
rnacentral:tRNA from 1 species